GAUGAACGCUGGCGGCGUGCCUAAUACAUGCAAGUCGAGCGAACAGAUAAGGAGCUCGCUCCCUUGACGUUAGCGGCGGACGGGGGAGUAAUACGUGGGUAACCUACCUAUAUGACUGGAAUAACUCCGGGAAACCGGGGCUAAUGCCGGAUAACAUGUUGAACGGCAUGGGUCUAGAGUGCAUGGCGGCUUUGCUGUCACUUAUAGAUGGACUCGCGCCGUAUUAGCUAGUUGGUGAGGUAACGGCUCACCAAGGCAACGAUACGUAGCCGACCUGAGAGGGUGAUCAGCCACACUGGAACUGAGACACGGUCCAGACUCCUACGGGAGGCAGCAGUAGGGAAUCUUCCGCAAUGGGCGAAAGCCUGACGGAGCAACGCCGCGUGAGUGAUGAAGGUCUUCGGAUCGUAAAGCUCUGUUGUUAGGGAAGAACAAAUGCGUAUGUAACUGUGCGCGUCUUGACGGUACCUAAUCAAAAAGCCACGGCUAACUACGUG
rnacentral:rRNA from 1 species